CAGUAACCCCUUGCUGCUCCCUUCUCGAUGGGCUCGUUGACCUUGAGGCUGCAGUGUGCCUUUGCACUGCUCUCAAAGCAAACGUUUUGGGCAUCAACCUCAACCUUCCACUCUCACUCAGCUUACUUCUCAAUGUUUGCUCAAGGAAAGUUCCCCGUGAUUUCCAAUGUGCCUAAUAUAGCCUAUACACAACAUAUCAUAUAUAUAUAUAUAUAUAUAUAUAUAUAUAUAUAUAUAUAUAUAUAUAUAUAUAUAGCAUGUUUGAAAACUCGUUGAGGAUGGAGAAAUCAUGUCUGGGAUGUGUAAGCUACAACUAUUAGCUUCUUAAAAUCACAUCUAGAACAUGAAAAGUCGUAUCCGAAACAUGAAACCAAACAUGUUAAUCAUCCUAUCUACUUUUUCUUCGUGUUUGCUAGUUGUGGCUUUCCAUUUUUUUUUUUCAAAGUCUAUUGAUCAGCGUGUGAAUCUUGUACGUGCAUAGAGGGUUAACUUCUCGUUAUUCCUUCCUUUCCGUGUUCUUUAAAUUGUAAGGUUAGAGUGUUGCAAUAAAUUAAUAAAUAAGUUCCCGAUAUGCUUGCUUGUCUACGCAAGGGAACCAAAGAUGAUGAACUGUGUUAUUUGUUUGAUUGAGAAAUGAUCAUUAUAUGACAAAUAAUCGUUUGGAAAAUUAAUAAAUAUGUUGGGCACGUUUAUGAAGGGGGUCACUGAUGUAAUAGUACCAGAUUACGUAUGCAGGGGCUGAACAAAUAUGCUUGCUGGAUGCUGUGAGAUUUUAUAUAUGCUGCGUCAAUAGUUUAGGAGCUGGAGCAGAUUAUAUGUGUGUUGUGGGAUUUUGCAGGGUAGUGGUUCAUAAUGUAAAAGGGUUUGGUUACCCAUAUACCCUCUAUUAUAUAAAAUUUAUUUGGAUCAUAUAAAAAAAAUCCUUCUUAAUUUAUUUUUGCCCUUUCCUUUUGUAUUUUUGAAGAAUGAGAUCACCAACUGAUCAAAUAAAUUACUCGGCCGUUCUAUUUUACUAUCGUCCAAUUCCCUCGUCCCCAAAAAGAGGUCACUAACUGGCGACAUCCAAUUUAGUCCUCUAUUAAGGAGGAAAAAGCUGCAUACGAUUCGUUACCUUUUUUUACCAUGCAUGGUAUGAUCUAUUUAAGCCAUGCAUAAUAAUAAAAUUGUAUUUCAAGGUGUAUCUUUCGACUUAGUAGUGUUUUAGAUUUUGAUAAAGAUUAGACCGUGGACAUUAAGAAAUAGAGUUUAAUAUUCUUUUUCUGAUUCAAGUAUUGGUUGAAAAUGUAUAUUACGGGACGACAUAUUACUAAUCAAGUGUUAGUUGAAAAUGUCGGGAACACAAGAGAGUCCAUCAUAUUAUUAGUAACUUGUUGAACCAUGCAUUUCCCCUCAAUUUAAGAGAUCAAUGGAAGAAAAAACCAUCGACAUUCAAAUUACUUUUCCCGGUUAUAGUGACAAUAUAAUAAAUAAUAUAAACAAAUAAUAUAUUUUGAAUCACCUUAAUAUUAAAUGUAAAAUAUUUAUUUAUUUUAUUAAUGAUUAUUCUCCUUUAGAUAACCUUACAGGUCACCCAUUAAAUCUCUCUUUCCAUUUUUUUUAAUUAUAAGAUUUGAACUUCAAAUCCUACUUAAGGAAUUUAAAUCUAAUUUUACUCAAAUUAAUAACAUUUGUUAUUCAAACAUAUGAUGUAUUGAUUGUAUACAUAUUUUUAUAUAUUAAAAUUAUGCACAUCUAUAAAAUUUAUAUGACUAAAUUAUUGUUUUAAUUUUUUAUUUAUAGUUUUGGAGUCGGCAAAUAGAAAAUGGAGGAUUAUAUGGAGUGCUGUAUCUUGUGUUAUAUGGAACUGGAGGAACAACAUGGUGCUUAGAGGUGCAACCUUUCACCGGGAUAAAGUAAUCUAUGAAAUACUCUUUCAAAGCUGGUCGUGGAAUAGAUAGAUCUAGUGAGCACAGGAUUUUAGCUCCUUUGUACCGUGGGAAAUUGGUCCUGGGGAAUGCUUGUUAAUUUGAAAGGUAUCUUUAUUUUUGGCCUGAGUUCGUGGUGCUGAAAGCUGCGUAUCAGAUGCUUGUAGGAUUGCUUGGUGGAUUGUUUAUGGUCUGCUGCGGUUUGGCUGGAGUUGGUCCUUGUGGUGAGGUGCUGCUGUAUUUAGAGGUCAGGGGCGUUGGUGUUUGCUUGGUUAUGCCACUGGUUGGUUACGUGUGACUAGAAAUAUAUAUAUUGGGUAUAUGAUGGUCUUUAAUUUUCAUAGCUUCAAUCUUUUGAGUAUGCAAUUGUUCCUUGUACGUAUACUUCAAGCUUCAGGACUGUUUGAAGCAUAUAUAUUUUAGGUGAUUUUUGGUUCAGCUUUGUGGUUGGAUUUUCCUUUGUAUUAGCCACAAAGGACAUGUAUGUUUUAUUCUAUGUCAUGGCCCUACUUGUGCUGCUAUCUUAAUAAUAUAUGAGGUUCCAUUUGAUUAUUGAAAAAAAUAUUUUAAUUACCUUUUUUUAUUUAAUCGAUGUAAGUUGAUUUCUUUAUAAUAAAAGUUUUAAUUUAAUUCUUUAAUUUUCAAAAUCAUGUCAAAUUUUGUUAUUUUCAUCUAAUUGAUCAAAAUAUAUAAUCAUCAAAAUGGGUUACAAUCGACAAGCCACCCGAUCCAUCACAAAUUUGAAUCAGGUUGGAUUAUUUUUUUUCCAUUUCAUUUAUGUAUAAAAUAUGACCCACCUGACCUGUGCUGGGCUAUGUUGACUAGCGAACCAAAGACAUGUUAAUGCUACAAAAAAAACUCACUAGUCACACAGCACAACAAUUAUGAUUAGGCUUGACCUUUUUUUUCACUCUUUUUUCUUGAUUAAGUUAUUAUUCUUGCUUUCUUAUUAUUAAUUAGGCAAUUUUUUUUUUCCUUUUGAGCAACCCAUCUUCGACUGACUUGACCCACUUUGACAGCUAUAGGUGUUAGUGAAAUCUGACACGUGCCACUUUUACUCGUUUUAGCCACCAAUGCCAUUCUAAUCAAUUAAACAUAAAUGAUAAUAUUGAUGUAAUUUUUAAAAUUAAGGAAUUAGCUUAAAUUUUUAACAAUAAAAAGACCAAAUUGAAUAUAUAAAAUAAAAAUUGAGAAAAAAAGAGUAUUUUAGCCUAUUUAUAUUAAUAGUUUAAUUUUCGUAAAAAAAAUGCAUACAUAGACUAAUUCAAAACUUAUUUAUUAGAGUUUUAUUUUUGUUUAAUGAAGUGAUUUAAUAGUCAUUAUUUGCUUCUAUGAUUUUUGAAUAAAAAAUCUAUCAAUUAUUUUUUUAUACUUUACUUGAAAGAAUAAAAGUUAUUAUAUAUCAUCUAAAUUUUUGUUAUUAUUUUUAAAUAAGGUUUUAUUUUAAUGACCGUUUUUAUUUUAACAUAUGCAGUAUUACUAGAUUGUCGAAAUAAAUAUCUAAUUUUAAUUAAAAAAAACCUUUAAGAAACUAACGUACCGUUUGAUUUGAGUGUUUUUUUUUUCUAAAAAUAAUUUUCAUUUUCAAAUUUUUAAGAUUUAUAAAGCAUAUAUCAAAAAUAAAAUACUCUAUGGUGUUUUCAUUUCUUCAUAAAAAUUAAAAAUAUUGAUAUGUUGUUUUUAAUUUUGUGCCUAUUUUUAAAAAUAUUUUCAAAAAAAUACUUUCAAAAUUCUAAACAAAUGUAGUUUUAUUAUUAUUUUUUAUUUUCUUUAAAAAUAAAAACAGAAAACACUCCCAUCAAACACCACCGAAUUCUAAUUAGUUUUAAAUUAAUAAUUUAAUCGUUGCUAGUAUAGGCAAAAUAGCUAGUUGUAAUGUAAGGAUUUGAUUAAACAUGUAAUAAUUGCUGUUGGCCUAUUAGUUAAUGGUAAUGUGAGGGUUUGGCAGGCUGUCGGGAUAUACAUCAUCAUCAUUUUUUUUAACAGAGUUAUCGAUCGGAGUACUCUAGAAGGUCCAAAUUUAAAACAAAAUGGAUUUUCAAUCUUAUAGAGCUACACGAGAAUAAAUGCUAGUAAAGUUAUAAAUUGAAACUUAAUUAAAUAUACUGAAUAUAUAUACAUAUAUAAUAUAUCAUAAAAUUGAUCAAUUUUGUUAAUUUUUAUCGAUGAUAAUAUUUUUGUUUAAAUUUAAUUUUUAUAUGAUGUCAGUGUAAUUUUUUUAUAUUAACUAGUUAAAAAUUAUUCUACAUAAUUAUUAUAAAAAUUAACGAGCUCAUCAUUAAAAAUUUAAUGCAUUACAAUUAAAUUCUUCCUACUUUGUUGUUUAAAAUUUUAAAUCCAACCAAAUUGCUAUUGGCUCUAAUCUUAAAUGUAAAUAAAAAAAUAACUCAUAUAUAGUUAUUUAAAACAAAUAAAUUUUAACUUUUUUAAAAAAAAUUCUCCAAAACAUUUUUUUAUUUAAAUUUUAUCUCAAUAACCUCUUUAAUUCUCGUGAUAUGAAUUGCAUGACUUUCAGAAAGAAAGAAAAAAUUUCAAUAAAAAAAAGUUUCUAUUAAAAUAAUGUUUUAUAACAAUUAGCGUGUGAAGAGUAGUUUGAAUAAUGGACAUUAUUUUUUUAACAAAAUACAGAAAAUUAAAUAAAUUAAAACUCACUAAACUAUUCUGAAACAAUCAUCAUAUCCUUCAUCCGAGUGAAAUUUAACUUAAAUUUUUUAACUAAAAUAUGAAAUUUAAUAAUUGUCGCAAAAAAUUAUUUUUGGUGUAGUGACACUUUGUAGAUGAAAGAAAGUAAAGAAAUAAUUGAGAUGGGAGACUCUCAUAAAAGUGAAUCAUUCAUAUUAUUUAACAAAAAAAUUAAUUGUUAGUAAAAUAAAUGAAUAUUUGGUACUGAUAAUAUCAUAAAAAUUACCAUGAAUGUUUUUGAACAUAAAAAAUAGUAAAGAAUAUCUUACAUGAUGAUUUUGUAGAGAAGUUGUGGUCAAUUUACAGCCACAAUUAGUGAUACUUAGAAAUGGGACCCGCUAUUCCACGUGCAAAAGUUAGCAAUUGCAUAAUUCUGGGGGCUCCAACGAUCUUACGGUCGCGGAAUCAAGUUGCCCAACGGAUGCAAAACUUUGCUUCCCGCAGAUCCACCGAUUGAUGACAGUCCCUACAUCAACAAGUCACGAGCAUCCAAAAGUUAAGGACUUAAUUUUUCGCCAGCUAAAAUUCGAUCUCAUGUUCAUACAUCAUUAUUUCAUUAGCUUCAUAUUUAUUUAUAAAAUAAAUUAUGUUUAUUUUUUAUUGUCAAAAAUCAAAUACUGUACUUAAGGUAUUAUAUGUCUUUAUUCUUAAUUAAAAUUAGCAUUUCAUCUAGAUAAUUAUUCUUAAUUUUAGUUAUAAAUAAUAGUAAUUAUUAAAAUAAAAUUUUCAUUUUAUUGAAAAAUCACUCCAAUUAUUUUUAUAAUACCAUAUCUAGAUUUAAUUUAUUUUUAAGAGAAAAAUCACUCUCAUGCAUGCAUUCAUAUGUUCCUUUUAUCGGUAAUAUAUAAUACUUUUUUAUAUUUUUUAUUAAUAAAACUAAUCUAUCAUUAAUUAUAUCAAUUUUGUAAAUGUCUUUUAAUUUAAGCUUUAUAUUUUACCUAUAUCGUACAUAUAUAAUACAAGAACUACUUGCUAAUUUUUUAAUAGACUCCUCAUCAUAACCCCCUUCACUUCAAAACACCAUGAGCACUAUAUAAACUACCUUCCACAGCAAAUUACUCCCAUCCUCACAAACACUCUUCUCCUAAGCUCUAGCACUUAACUAGCAAUAUUAAUUAGCAUUUGCUAGAGAGACUAGGAGUAUAAACAUACCCCAGUUUAAGAUGGCUUCAAAAACUUGUUCCUCCCUUGCCCUUUUCCUCACACUCAACCUCAUUUUCUUCUCACUUGUUUCUGCAUGCGGUUAUACACCAUGCCCUGGUCCAAACCCAAAGCCAAGGCCCAACCCCAACCCUAACCCUAACCCUAGCCCAAGUGGCUCCUGCCCCCGUGAUGCACUCAAACUAGGUGUAUGCGCCAAUGUGCUAAACUUGGUGAACGUCACUUUGGGUCAACCACCAGUUACCCCUUGCUGCAC
rnacentral:lncRNA from 1 species